rnacentral:rRNA from 1 species
GAGUUUGAUCAUGGCUCAGAUUGAACGCUGGCGGCAUGCCUUACACAUGCAAGUCGAACGAUCCCUUCGGGGAUAGUGGCGCACGGGUGCGUAACGCGUGGGAACCUGCCCUUAGGUUCGGAAUAACUCAGAGAAAUUUGAGCUAAUACCGGAUAAUGUCUUCGGACCAAAGAUUUAUCGCCUUUGGAUGGGCCCGCGUUGGAUUAGCUAGUUGGUGGGGUAAAGGCCUACCAAGGCGACGAUCCAUAGCUGGUCUUAGAGGAUGAUCAGCCACACUGGGACUGAGACACGGCCCAGACUCCUACGGGAGGCAGCAGUGGGGAAUAUUGGACAAUGGGCGAAAGCCUGAUCCAGCAAUGCCGCGUGAGUGAUGAAGGCCCUAGGGUUGUAAAGCUCUUUUACCAGGGAUGAUAAAUGACAGUACCUGGAGAAUAAAGCUCCGGCUAACUCCGUGCCAGCCGCCGCAGUAAC